GCGGCAUGCUUACACUGCAAGUCGAACGGCAGCGGGGAGAAGCUUGCUUCUCCUGCGGCGAGUGGCGAACGGGUGAGUAAUACAUCGGAACGUGCCCUGUAGUGGGGGAUAACUAGUCGAAAGAUUAGCUAAUACCGCAUACGACUGAGGGUGAAAGUGGGGGACCGCAAGGCCUCAUGCUAUAGGAGCGGCCGAUGUCUGAUAGCUAGUUGGUGGGGUAAAGGCCCACCAAGGCGACGAUCAGUAGCUGGUCUGAGAGGACGAUCAGCCACACUGGGACUGAGACACGGCCCAGACUCCUACGGGAGGCAGCAGUGGGGAAUUUUGGACAAUGGGCGAAAGCCUGAUCCAGCAAUGCCGCGUGUGUGAAGAAGGCCUUCGGGUUGUAAAGCACUUUUGUCCGGAAAGAAAUGGCUCUGGUUAAUACCUGGGGUCGAUGACGGUACCGGAAGAAUAAGGACCGGCUAACUACGUGCCAGCAGCCGCGGUAAUACGUAGGGUCCAAGCGUUAAUCGGAAUUACUGGGCGUAAAGCGUGCGCAGGCGGUUGUGCAAGACCGAUGUGAAAUCCCCGAGCUUAACUUGGGAAUUGCAUUGGUGACUGCACGGCUAGAGUGUGUCAGAGGGGGGUAGAAUUCCACGUGUAGCAGUGAAAUGCGUAGAGAUGUGGAGGAAUACCGAUGGCGAAGGCAGCCCCCUGGGAUAACACUGACGCUCAUGCACGAAAGCGUGGGGAGCAAACAGGAUUAGAUACCCUGGUAGUCCACGCCCUAAACGAUGUCAACUAGUUGUUGGGGAUUCAUUUCCUUAGUAACGUAGCUAACGCGUGAAGUUGACCGCCUGGGGAGUACGGUCGCAAGAUUAAAACUCAAAGGAAUUGACGGGGACCCGCACAAGCGGUGGAUGAUGUGGAUUAAUUCGAUGCAACGCGAAAAACCUUACCUACCCUUGACAUGCCACUAACGAAGCAGAGAUGCAUUAGGUGCUCGAAAGAGAAAGUGGACACAGGUGCU
rnacentral:rRNA from 1 species